rnacentral:tRNA from 1 species
GCACCAUAUAGCUCAGUUGGUUAGAGCAUGGUGCUGAUAAUGCCAAGGUUGCAGGUUUGAUCCCCAUAUGGGACA